rnacentral:rRNA from 1 species
UACGUAGGGCGCAAGCGUUGUCCGGAAUUAUUGGGCGUAAAGAGCUCGUAGGCGGCUUGUCACGUCGGGUGUGAAAGCCCGGGGCUUAACCCCGGGUCUGCAUUCGAUACGGGCUGGCUAGAGUGUGGUAGGGGAGAUCGGAAUUCCUGGUGUAGCGGUGAAAUGCGCAGAUAUCAGGAGGAACACCGGUGGCGAAGGCGGGUCUCUGGGCAACAACUGACGCUGAGGAGCGAAAGCGUGGGGAGCGAACAGG